CCGACAGAUAAAUUAAUUUAGUGAAGCGUGCGUGAUGAUGAGACGCUUAAAUGCAAUUGGUGUUGGGUGCAAUGUGAACAAUAUAUGGUAGGUAUAUACCACAACCAUAUGUGUGGGUUUUUGCAUUAGUUACAACGUACUAGUACUUGCAUUGCAUCCCAAUCCCAUAAUGCAUGGUCCAGCUCUGAGACCAAACACCAAACUCUUUACUGUUGUUUUCCUCCCCCAAUCCCUGUCCUUAGCCAUGCAUGUGACCUCACCUGAUGCAAAUGCCCCCCACACACCUUCAUUUGUAAUUUUCUUCCUUCGUAAAUUAAGAUAUGAUACACGCCUAAUUGCACAUACUAAAUCAGAUUCUUGUUAAAGGUUAAAGUCUCUCUACAUACGUUUUUUGUGCGCACCAAACACUCGACUAAAUGAUUAAGAGAUUGAACCCUUACAAACUAUUAUAAUAGAAAAAUUAUGUUAGGAUAAAGAGAAUCGAACCAAAAAUUUAAUUUAUUAUAUAUUAAAUGCGAGACUUCCGUAAAUUCUUGCUAAAUUUAAUUUACAUCAUAGACUAGUCAUUUUAGAUAUUAACGCGACUCACUAUGCUGUAUGUUCAAGAAUGCAAAAAUAAAAAUUAGUAGGAGUUUCCCUUGUUAAUUUUAGUACUCCAUUCGCCCACUAUUAUGUUAUUAUAAACAAAAAUAAGUAUUUUUAUGGUUAUUAAAAAAAUUAGUUAAGUAUAAUUAAUAUUUUAAAUUUUAUAUAAAAUAUAAUUUAAAUUUACUAAAUUAUCUAUUUAAUAUUAAAUAUUCAACUAUUGAUAUUAAAUAUUUUUUAUCAAAGUAAAAAUAUGUUGAACAUUAACAUUAAAUGAGUUUUAAAAGCAGCUAACUUUUAGUGAACCAAAUUUGAAAACAUCUUUAGUAUAAAGUAUUCAGCUUUGCUUUGGGAUGGUGUUUGUAAUGUCUAGCGGUUUGGCCAAAAUUUUAUUGUUUUUAGAUGGCAAGGGAAAAAAAAAAGGCAAUAGUAAAAAGAAGUGUCGGAAAACACAAGUCGUUAAUUAAGGGUGUUAUUUAUGUAUGUACGGGCUAAGAUUAUAUUUUUUCAUUAAAAAGUCACGUGCGACCGCUGCAAUCAAGUUUUUAAGGAACGUGCAAUUGUGCAUCUCGUCGUUUCCUAUUUUUUGUUGUGGUAGAAAAUGAAUUGAUACAAAUACAUGAAACUGAAAUCGUACUGCUCUUAAGUGUUAAUUUGACCGUUGAGGUAUUUGAAGGUGAUUUAUUUCAUGUUGCAACUUUUGCUAAAUAGGAUCCCAACUAGGGAUAGUAUAUUUCCUUUGUAUGUGCAAAUUUGAGAAUGUACACGAUCAUUGAUGGCUACUACACGAACAAAAUCAAGCGAAAAUACCUUAAACAAAUUGCUGCUGGCGGUGGAUGAGCAACAUGGCCGGCGAGAACCUUCAUAAUAGGACCUCUUUGUAGUGACUGUAUUGCUACAUUAUUUUGUAACAAUAAUACUAAUUCUUUCUCUAUUAAUAAUGGCUUUAUUGCCGUUAUUUCUUGCGAUUCCAAUAGCAGAAUUAUUGUUGUCAGUACUAACAUUUUCGUCUAGCAACCCAUUAUUAUAGUCAAAAGAAGAUUUAAUAUUAUGGACUAAGGUGACAUUCAAGCUGUA
rnacentral:lncRNA from 1 species